rnacentral:rRNA from 1 species
GGGGUAAAAUUAAUAAAAUAAAAUUAAUAAAAUAAAUUUUAAAGUUAAAAAUAUAUAAUUGGGGGGUUAAAGUAUUUUUAAUAGAAAAAAUUUAAAAUUUUAUAGUAAAUUAGUAUUGUAAAAGAAAUUUGAAAUAGAUUAAAAUAAAUUAAUUAGAAAGAAAAUUUAAUUUAUUGUAUCUUGUGUAUCAGAGUUUAUUAAAUAAAUUUUUUGGGGUAAAAAAUUUCGAAUUUAAAAGAGUUAAUUAAUUAUAAAAGUUAAUGUAACAUAAUUAUUUAAAGUAAUUAAUUAGAAAUGAAAUGUUAAUCGUUUUUAAAAAUAUCUAAUUAUUUUAGAAAAAAAUUUAAUUUUUAAUUUAAAUAAUUUUAUAAUUUAUUUAAAAAUUAUAAAAAUUUAAAUUUAAUAUUUUAGGGGAUAAGCUUUAAAUUAAAAAUUUAUAAUAAAAAUUAAUUAAAAUAAAAUUUUUAAAAUUUAUAUUGUUUAAAAAUUAUAAUUUAUUAUAAAAAAUUUUAAUUAAUAUAAAAUUUAAUAAAUAAAAAUUUAAAUUUUUAUAAAAUAAUAAUUUUUAAUUAAAAAAAAAUUAGAAAUAAUGGUGAAAUUAGUAUAAAAAUAUGUAAAAAUUUAAAUAUAAAUUAAAAUUAAUUAAAAGGAAUUCGGCAAAUAUAUAUAUAUAUUCACUUGUUUAUCAAAAACAUGUCUUUUUGAAUUAUAAUUUAAAGUCUAAUCUGCCCACUGAUAAAUAUUAAAGGGCUGCAGUAUAUUGACUGUACAAAGGUAGCAUAAUCAUUAGUUUCUUAAUUGGAAACUUGUAUGAAAGAUUUGAUGAAAUAUAAACUGUCUCUUAAUUAUUAUUAAAAUUUUAUUUUUUAGUUAAAAAGCUAAAAUAAAUUUAAAAGACGAGAAGACCCUAUAGAGUUUUAUAUUUUAUUAUAUUUUAAAAAUUUAUAAAAUUAAUUUUUAAAAUAUAAUAAAAUAUUAUGUUGGGGUGACAGAAAAAUUAAAUAAACUUUUUUUAAAAAUUAAACAUUAAUAAAUGAAUAAAUGAUCCAUAAAUAAUGAUUAUAAGAAAAAAUUACCUUAGGGAUAACAGCGUGAUAUUUUUUUUUAGUUCAAAUAAAAAAAAAAGUUUGCGACCUCGGUGUUGGAUUAAGAUAAAAUUUAAAUGCAAAAGUUUAAAAUUUUGAUCUGUUCGAUCAUUAAAAUCUUACAUGAUCUGAGUUCAAACCGGUGUGAGCCAGGUUGGUUUCUAUCUUUAGAUGAAAAAAAAAUAUUUUA